rnacentral:lncRNA from 1 species
CAUAUAAUUGCUUAGAGCCAAAAAAAUAAAAAUCAUCAUAACUUAUAAUAAAAUCAUCUGGCAUGGCAAUGCAUCUAUUGCGGUCAAUCCCCUCAUCGCCUGGUUACCGGGAACGAGUGCCUGCAAAAGAAAGUCCGCACUGACCGGAGGUGGCUCCGGCGGGGAUCCUCCGACGGUCAAGUCAGAGAGGAGACUAGGCAACAAUGAAAAGGAAACAAGGAGCUCAACGAGAGAGAG